GGGCCUAUAGCUCAAUCGGUUAGAGCAGGGGACUCAUAAUCCCUUGGUUCCAGGUUCGAGUCCUGGUGGGCCCA
rnacentral:tRNA from 1 species